UACAGAGGGUGCGAGCGUUAAUCGGAAUUACUGGGCGUAAAGGGCGCGUAGGCGGUUUGAUGGGUGUGAUGUGAAAGCCCUGGGCUUAACCUAGGAAGUGCAUCGCAAACUAUUAAACUGGAGUAGAUGAGAGGGUGGCGGAAUUUCCGGUGUAGCGGUGAAAUGCGUAGAGAUCGGAAGGAACGUCAAUGGCGAAGGCGGCGACCUGGUCCUUUACUGACGCUGAGGCGCGACAGCGUGGGGAGCAAACAGG
rnacentral:rRNA from 1 species